UACGUAGGUGGCGAGCGUUGUUCGGAUUUACUGGGCGUAAAGCGCGCGCAGGCGGCUGGUUAAGUCUGAUGUGAAAGCUCCCGGCUUAACUGGGUAAUUGCAUCGGAAACUGAUCGGCUGGAAGGUGGGAGAGGGUAGCGGAAUUCCCGGUGUAGUGGUGAAAUGCGUAGAUAUCGGGAGGAACACCAGUGGCGAAAGCGGCUACCUGGCCCAUUCUUGACGCUGAGGCGCGAAAGCUAGGGGAGCAAACGGG
rnacentral:rRNA from 1 species